GACUCUGAUCCAAUGUGCUGGCUAGUUGGUCUCAUUGUGCAUGCGUGACUGUAUAGUAUGGGCAGGCGUCAUAAAGAGAGGGGAGAAAAGCUUGUGACACUGAUGGCAACACACUCAUCACAGAAUCGAUGACUGAUAUUCCCAAAUCCCAAAGGCCAUACAACAGUGCGAAAAGCUAGCUACAAGAAGGUGUCCAGGUUCAAUGCACUCCAGCCCUGUCGUCGUUCAAAGUGCAGAGACCCAGAUGAUGAGGAGUAGUUUCAAAGCAGAGGAGAUACUUGGAAAGGGCAUGGAGAUGGAGAUGGAGAUGGAGAUGCUUGGGGUAUAAGUAUCUUUGGAGAAGCAUCAUACGCAGAGGCGAGACGAUGGCGAUGCGGCGGGAGCUUUUCCUCUACUUCCUCAUGCCGCGUAGGAGGGGGAGGAGAGGCCGUCGUCGUCGUCCUCGCAUGGAGUUCCCCCAUUCACACUUCUUGGCUGUCUAGUUCGUCGUCGUUCGUUCAGGUAAGGAGGGUUUUGUUCCUGUAAUUCCCUUGUGUUGUUCCUCGUGGAGAUGGGGUUGUAUCUUCUCCUUCUCUUCUCGUCUCUUAUGGCCACUUCGUGUGUUUCUUUCAUCAUUUACAGUGAUAUCUCUACUGUAGUAACAGUCUGUAGUAGUCUGUCUUACACUGUAAUUUCCAGGGUUUUUUGUUUCUUUUUUUGUAACUUCAGAUAUGUGUAACUUCCAGUGUAGCUGGUGGUCAUUUAACUGAAUUUCCGCUUCCAGUGUUUUGUUACAUGGCGGUACAUCAACUGAAAUUUCAGUACAUAUAGAAAGUAAUUUACGGAUGUAGAUGUAGGUAUGCAAAUGUUGAAUCUCCUGGUCGGUUGAGUCUCAUGAUGUAUAGGUGUUGGUCUGAUUUUUUUUCAGUUUUAGUUACACUGAUUUGGACUGUAAUUUGUAGUGUAAUUUUGAGUGCAUUUUCAGAAUAGUUUCACUUGUAGUCCAGUGUAAAAUUUUACGGUGAUAUUUUCUAUUGUUGGUACAGUUUAUAGUCCUUCUCACACUGUAAUUCCAUUUUUUGUAGCUUACAGUGUAUGUUAAAAUUGAAUGUCUGUGUACAUUAGUGACCUUGUACCUUAUACACUGUCUCCACCAUUAAUUAACUGUAACUUAAGUGUAACUAACCUGUAAAUUAAGUGUAAUUAACCAGAAUUUUUUAUACUUACAGUCUAUGUACUGAAAUUUUCAGUCUAAAUUUAGUGUAAUUACACUGUAAACUUGGUGUAAUUAACCUGUAAUGUCAUCGCACUUUGACGCUGACAACCCUCUAUAUCCCUGUAAUUUACAGUUCUUUAUUUUGGUUUCUAUUCUAUGUAAUUACACCGUAAUGUCAAUGCACUAACACUCUAUAUCCCUGUGUAAUUUUAUUGAAUUAUAUUUGUGACUGUGGUCUUUAUUUUUGUAUUUUUUUUUACUAUGUAAUUACACUGGAUUGUAAGUGUACCUAUGUAAAUCCCUAGUGUUCUGUGAAUUAAUUUUGUAAUCGGAUCGAUAUAAAUCAUUGGUUUCUAUUCUAUGUAAUUACACUGUAAUGUUAGUGCACUCACACUCAAUAUCCCUGUGUGAUUUCAGUGAAUCAUUUGUAACUGUAGUGUUAAUUUUGUAUAUUUUACUAUGUAAUUACACUUGAUUGUCAGUGUACUCACUAUGUAAAUCCCUGUGAAAUUUUAGUGUAUUAAUUAUGUAAUUGGAUCGAUAAAAAUCAUUUUGACCAUGGUUAGUUCCAUUGAUGAUUUGUUGUGAGUGGUAUAAAUCAUUUGAAAACAUAUGAGUAGACUGAUGCAGGGUUGUGUGGGAUUUGAUGUUUUUUAUAAUUUACCAUCAAAUUCCUCAAUAGUCAGUGUAUUGUCAAUCCUGAAAAUCCUCAUACGACCCUUCAUUGGCUUGGAAGCAAGGUCCUGUCUUUUCCUCUGGUUUUUUCGUAAUGUGAAACAAGCAUGUUCUAUGAAUGCCAUUUUGGAAAACCUCUUCUAUUGCUCCUUGCAUUGCUUUAUCUUGAUCUGUGNNNNNNNNNNNNNNNNNNNNNNNNNNNNNNNNNNNNNNNNNNNNNNNNNNNNNNNNNNNNNNNNNNNNNNNNNNNNNNNNNNNNNNNNNNNNNNNNNNNNNNNNNNNNNNNNNNNNNNNNNNNNNNNNNNNNNNNNNNNNNNNNNNNNNNNNNNNNNNNNNNNNNNNNNNNNNNNNNNNNNNNNNNNNNNNNNNNNNNNNNNNNNNNNNNNNNNNNNNNNNNNNNNNNNNNNNNNNNNNNNNNNNNNNNNNNNNNNNNNNNNNNNNNNNNNNNNNNNNNNNNNNNNNNNNNNNNNNNNNNNNNNNNNNNNNNNNNNNNNNNNNNNNNNNNNNNNNNNNNNNNNNNNNNNNNNNNNNNNNNNNNNNGCCGCCAUAGCUGUCAAAAACGGAUUGAACAGACACACGAAAGUGUCCGUUUUCUCAUUGAUUAUGAAUGCACAAGCGAAUAAGUAUGUGUUUCCAUGGGGUGAGACAUCAACAAAGGGUGCAAAUGGUAGAUUAUACUUGUUAGUUAGGAACAUUGUGUCAAAGCUUAUGCAAUCUCCACAAAUAUUGUACAUCAGCCUCAACCUUGCAUCUACCCAAAAAAUGCUCCUUACCUUGUUCUCCGCAUAUAGUUCAAAUGAGUAGUAGAAACCAGGGGGUUCAACUUGUUUUUUGGUAAACAUAUGCACGACCUCCAUCAUGUCAGUGUUCGACACCUCUGUUUAUUGUUGAUGCAUAGUUUGUGACAUCCUUCUUUGUGUAAGAUAGUUGCGCUAAACCUCCUCGAAGAUAUGUUAGCUAAUCUAGUCGUUGUGCUUAGGUAGUUUGUUUCCCCGUCAAAAUAAACCCGUUUGCACGAGCCGCGACUUGUGCGUGUCGGGCAAGUAGCUUUGCUUGGGCCUGUAGAUCGACGCUUCACGUCGUGGCCCGAUAGCCUCGCAGGUGACUUAGGAGACACGAUCAGCUCUUGUGGGAUGGCGCGGGUCUGACGGAUCGUGGCGCAUAGAUAGGAUUGUCGCCUGCCUCUUCUCUUUGUAACGAAUAAAUAGAGCAGUGAAAGAAAACGGGAAAAGUCGCAAGUUUGCACGCAGCGCAAAACACUGUCCUCUCUGUGAUUGUGAGCCUAGAUUUCUAACAAGUGGUAUUCAGAGCCUCGUUUAGCGAUCCCGGCGAUCAUGUCCGAUCACAGAGAACAGCCGGACGCGGCUGCGGCGGCGGCCGCCGCGACCCUCAACGCAGGCGGGGGUGGGCUGGCGCGCUCGGCGACUCCACCACGGGAGCGUAGCAGCGGGCGAAGCCGCGUGAGGCAGAAGCGGCAGGUGGUGAUCCACCUGGCGGCGGCCACGGAGCGCGCGCCGUUUGUGCCGGGAGCCGGCACGACGUUCCCAACCCUCACCUCGACCAACUACAUCGAGUGGUCGCUGGUGAUGAAGGUCCACCUGGAGUCCUGGGGGCUCUGGGACGCGGUCGAGGGCAACGCGCAGCACGUACGCGACGACAAGUCGGCGCUCGGCGUCCUUCUCCGAGCUGUUCCGCCAGAGAUGCUCGGCGUCCUCGGCGUCAAGGAGACGGCCAAGGCGGCCUGGGACACUAUCAAGGUCAUGCGGAUGGGAGUGCACCGUGUGCGUGAGGCCACCCUGCAACGACUCCGCGCGGAAUUCGAGCAGAUCGCUUUCCACGACGGCGAGACCCUCGACGCUUUCGGCAUGCGCAUCACCAGCAUCAUCAACCAGCUGCGCACGCUCGGCGACAACGUCGAGGAGGUACGCGUCGUGCAGAAGUUGUUGCGUGUUGCCCCCCCCCAAUACGCGCAGAUCGCAGUGGCGAUCGAAACCCUCCUGGAGCUGAGUACGAUUUCGGUCGAGGAGCUGAUUGGGCGGCUGAGGACCGCCGAGGAGCGCUGCGCUGCGCCCGCGCCGAGCCAAGGCGGUGGGCAGCUGUACCUCACUGAGCAACAGUGGGAAGCGCGCAAACAGGCGCGUGAGAGCGGCCAAGGCUCCGGCGGCGGCAACGGCGGCGGGCAGAACAACCGCCGUGGCAAGAAUCAGGGACGGAGGAACGACGCACGCCCGCCUCAGAACACCGGCGGCUCUGGCGAGCCCGGCGGUCGCAGCGGCGGCCGUGACAUGACCAAAGUCAAGUGCUACAACUGCAACAAGCCGGGGCAUUUCUCGCGGGACUGCACCGAGCCCUGGCGUGAGCGCAAGGAGCAAGUCAAUCUCGCCGAGGGCGGGACCGAGGAGACCACGCUCCUCCUGGCGAGCCUGUGCGCGCUCACCGCGACCACGGAGGCGGCCGUGGAGCACGUGAUGCUGAAUGAGGAGCGCUCGCAGGCGCGCCCUGCCUCGGGUGAUGGAGGUUGCGACUCCUCCUGGUUCCUGGACUCCGGCGCCAGCAACCACAUGUCUAGGCGGCGGGAGAUCUUCUCCGAGCUCGACACUGGUGUGCAUGGCUCCAUCGGGAUUGGCGACGGGUCCGCGGUGCAGAUCGAGGGGAGGGGAACAAUCCUGUUCCAGUGUCUAAAUGGUGAGCACUUGGUACUCUCUGAGGUGUACUACCUUCCCCGUCUAUGCAGCAAUAUCGUGAGCUUGGGCCAAUUGGACGAGAACGCCUACGACACACACAUCAGCCAGGGCGUCCUUCAGCUGCGGGACCCAGGCGGGCGCCUGCUCGCGCGCGUGCAGCGCAACCAUGGGCGUCUGUACGUGCUGAGCCUGAGCGUGGCUCGUCCGGUCUGCCUCGAUGUACAUGAAGGCGAGGAUGCGUGGCUCUGGCACGCGCGGUACGGCCACAUUGGCUUCCAGGCGCUCCGGUCACUCGUGCGCGAGGACAUGGUUCAUGGCCUGCCGCUCGUCGAUCAGGUGGAUCGGCUCUGCGAGGCCUGUCUUGCCGGCAAGUACCGGCGAGCUCCCUUCCCUCGUUAGGCCUUGAACCGCGCCGAGGACGUACUCGGGCUCGUGCACGCGGAUCUGUGCGGGCCGAUCACACCGGCCACGCCGGGAGGGAAACUUUACUUCCUCCUGCUCGUCGACGACAAGAGCCGGUUCAUGUGGCUGUACCUGCUCACGACCAAGGACGAGGCAGAGACGGCGCUCCGGCAGUUCCAAGCGGCGGCAGAACGCGAGUCCGGUCGCCACCUCAAGACCCUGCGCACAGAUCGCGGGGGUGAGUUCAACUCCUCGAGCCUCGACGAGUUCUUUGCAGAGUUGGGCUUGCACGGACAGCUCACCGCCCCCUAUACGCCGCAACAGAAUGGGGUGGUGGAGCGGCGCAACCAGACGAUCAUCGGCAUGGCGCGGUGUCUGCUCAAGGCGAAGGGCGUCCCAGCACGCUUCUGGGAAGAGGCCAUGACCACGGCGGUGUACCUGCUAAACCGCGCAAUGACGAAGAGCGUCUCCGGCAUGACACCGUAUGAGGCUUGGUGCGGCCGUCGUCCCAACGUGCAGCACUUCCGCACCUUUCGGAUGUGUAGCUCACGUGAAGGUGACGCGCCCGAACACGAAGAAUCUCGACGACCGCAGCGUGCCCAUGGUCUUUCUCGGGUACGAGCCCGGAUCGGCUGCAUACCGCGUCUUCCACCCUCCGUCAGGCCGCGCCCACGUCUCCCGCGACGUCGUGUUCGACGAGAACACGUCGUGGGAUUGGAGCGCCGCUUCGCCCGCUCGUGAUGAGGGAUUCGAGUCCUUUACGGUUGAGCUGGAGCCCGUGGCCACGACGAGCGUGCGGGUGGAGCCAGCAUCUUCCUCGAUCGGACGCCACUCGGUGCCCGCGCCCGACGUCGAGCCGUCAACACCACAGAGCACGAUCAUCGCGCCGUCUCCUACCUCCCCGGCGUACGGAACGCUGAUCUCGACUCCAACCGGCGUUGAGUUCGUCUCACCGGCCACCGGCGCGUCCGAGGAGCCUCCCGACGCAGAGGCGACACGUCGGUGCCGCACACUCAAGAAUGUGUGGGAUACGACAGAGGAGGUGGAGGCGAACUACAGCGACGGCGACUUGUACCUGCUCGUGGGCGAGGAACCGACCUCGUUCAUUGAAGCGGAGAAGGAGCAGGGAUGGUGCGCAACUAUGAACGAAGAGAUGCAGAGCAUCGUUGACAACGGAACCUGGGAGCUGAGCGAGCUCCCGGCUGGUCACCGCGCAAUUGGCCUCAAAUGGGUCUACAAGCUCAAGAAGGAUCCCCGGAGGGCCAUUGUGAAGCACAAGGCACGCCUGGUGGCGAAAGGCUACGUGCAGCGGGAGGGCGUCGACUUUGAAGCGGUCUUCGCGCCAGUCGCGCGCAUGGACUCAGUGUGCGUCCUCGUCGCGCUCGCGGCGCACCAUGGCUGGCAGGUACACCACAUGGAUGUGAAGUCCGCUUUCUUGAAUGGUGACUUGCUCGAGGAGGUCUAUGUGCUGCCGCCGUGGGGGUACGCCGUGGCCGGCCAGGAGGGCAAGGUGUUGCGCCUCCGCAAGGCGCUGUACGGACUUCGCCAAGCACCAAGGGCCUGGAACGCGAAGCUGGACGAGAGCUUGUGCGCUCUGGGGUUCGAGCGUUGCCCGUCAAAGCACGCUGUCUACCGUCGCGGCUCGGGCGCCUCGCUUCUGAUCAUCGGGGUCUACGUUGACGACCUCGUCAUCACCGGAGCGGCCACGGCGGAGAUCAUCUCCUUCAAGCAGCAGAUGACCGGGAUGUUUCGCAUGAGCGACCUAGGCAUGCUCAGCUACUACCUCGGGAUUGAGGUGAGCCAGAAGCGCGACCGCAUCGUGCUCGGGCAGGCGGCCUACGCCAAGCGACUACUGGAGAGCGCGGGCAUGGAGGACUGCAACCCCAGUAACACGCCGAUGGAGGCUCGGCUCAAACUGAGCAAGGAGAGCACCGCCGCCCCGGUGGACAAGACAAAGUACCGCAGCAUCAUCGGGGGACUGCGGUAUCUGGUUCAUACAAGGCCCGACAUAUCAUUUGCAGUUGGGUACUUGAGCAGGUUCAUGGAGAAGCCCGCGUCCGAUCACUACGCUGCAGUGAAGCACCUCCUGCGGUACGUGGCCGGGACGCUGGAUCACGGCUGCGCAUACGAGCGCGGCGAUGGAGGACUGCAGCUAACCGGCUAUAGUGACUCGGAUCAUGCUGGGGACACGGACAACAAGAAGAGCACGACGGGGGUGAUCUUCUUCCUCAGCAAGAGCCCGGUGAGCUGGCAGUCCCAGAAACAGAGGGUGGUGGCGCUCUCCUCGAGCGAGGCCGAGUACAUGGCCGCCACUGCCGCUGCGUGUGAGGGCAUCUGGCUGUCGCGGCUGCUUGGCGAGAUGCUGAACAAGGAAGCUGCGCGGCCGAAGCUCCUCGUCGACAACAAGUCGGCGAUCUCCUUGGCGAAGAACCCUGUCUUCCACGACCGCAGCAAAUACAUUGAGAUCAGGUACCAUUUCAUUCGCGAGUGCGUGGAGCAGGGGCGCGUCUUCAUCGACUACGUCAGAACCAGCGAGCAACUAUAGCCGACACUCUGACGAAAGCACUCGGGCGUCUCGCCUUUCAGGAGCUGAGAAGGAGAAUCGGCAUGGUUGAAAUAAUACGCCAAUGCUAAAAUUAGGGAGGUGAUUUGUUAGCUAAUCUAGUCGUUGUGCUUAGGUUGUUUGUUUCCCGUCAAAAUAAACCCGUUUGCACGAGCUGCGACUUGUGCGUGCCGGCAAGUAGCUUUGCAUGGGCCUGUAGAUCGACGCUUCACGUCGUGGCCCGAUAGCCUCGCAGGUGACUUAGGAGACACGAUCAGCUCUCAUGGGAUGGUGCGAGUCUGACGGAUCGUGGCGCAUAGAUAGGAUCGUCGCCUGCCUCUUCUCUUUGUAACGAAUAAAUAGCAGUGAAAGAAACGGGAAAAGUCGCAAGUUUGCACGCGGCGCAAAACACUGUCCUCUCUGUGAUUGUGAGCCUAGAUUUCUAACAAGAUACACUCCAGCCCUGUCGUCGUUCAAAGUGCAGAGACCUAGAUGAUGAGGAGUAGUUUCAAAGCAGAAGAGAUACUUGGAAAGGGCAUGGAGAUGGAGAUGGAGAUGCUUGGGGUAUAAGUAUCUUUGGAGAAGCAUUAUUCGCAGAGGCGAGAUGAUGGCGAUGCGGCCGGAGCUUUUCCUCUUCUUCCUCACGCCGUAGGAGGAGGAGGAGAGGCCGUUGUCGUCGUCCUCGCACACAUGGAUUUCCCCCAUUCGCACUUCUUGGCUCUCUAGUUCGUCGUUGUUGGUUCGAUCAGGUAGGGAGGAGGGUUUUGUCCCUGUGAUCUCCCUUGAUUUUCAUAUCGUAGGGCAGGUGGGGUUGUAUCUUUUCCUUCUCCUCUUGCUGCGUGUUGUUCUUGCAGCUUGAUUGUAUGCUUGUUGUAUCAGGGCAUCUCGUCUCUCUUGGCCACUUUGUGUGUUCCUUUCGUCAUGUGUUUGUUUGGAUGACCUCCGGAAAUGCAUGCUUGUGUGGGUUUGUUACUGGAUGCGAUGAUGGUUGUAGCUGCGUUGUCUGAACUUCAGGGCAUCUCGAAUUCUCAUUUCUCGAUACAAGUGCACGAUCACGCCACACCUUGAUUGUUGUCCCCUUCCCCCUGUUUUUUUGACUCUGGACUGGAUUUAAAUUUGAGUGGAUUUUCAGUUUAAUUUCAUUUUUAUAGUCACCAGUAAAUGGCCAGUGGAGGACUUGGCUCCCGACCCCGCUCUCGCUAGGGUUCCUCCCCUAGCGACCUCCCACCGCCGCCGGCCGUCCUAGCACCCCCGCGCCGCCGCCGGCCGCCGGUUGCUCAAAGCCCGGCCCCGCCCCUCCCUCCUCCAUCCCGGAUCCGCCCCUACGCCGCCUCCCCGAGAGGUGGCUGGGGCGGCGCGCGGCCUCCUCCUUCUAGGCGGCCCCUCCCCCUUUCCUCCCGUCGCAGCCGGCGGUCGCCACCGGCGCCGGCCCGGGUGGUGUCGGCGACGGCCGGAUUUCUAGUCCCCGCGCGCUCGUUCCUUCUUCCCGGGGCAGGAGACGGCGGCGGUGGCCGGCGGCGAGCGAGGUGGCGGCACGGCUCCUUGGCGGCGGGACGGCUUGGUGGUGCGGGGUGGUCGGCGGCGCGCCCCCGGCCCAGAUCUGGGCCCUGCGGGCACCAUCUGGGUCCUAGCGGGCCGACCUCCGGCGCGGCUUCGGUGUCUUCUGCGCAGUGGGGAGGAGGAGCAGCUUGGACCGGGGUGCCUGCUGUAGCGCGAAGGUGGGAGCUUCACGGGCCUAUGAGGGCCCGGCCGGGCCUGUGGGCCCACGGGCCUGGUAUGCUCCUGCUAUUGCAUCCGGUUGGCUAUCGUCUUUGACGGUGGAGGUUGAGCCCUCCUGCGUGCCGACAGUGUUGCUGCCUCUAGUCCCAGCUCCUGCUCUUCGGUGUGCAGACCUCUCUUCGUGUUGCCAUGGUGAGACAGCGUGGAAGCCUCAAGACCAUGUUGGUGUAGGAUGGUGGUCGGUUUGGUGGCGGGCUCCGGAGCGCCCGAGGUGAAGGUUGGGAUCGGGAGAAAUCCCAGUCGGCUUGACCGACACCGGCGCGGUGGCAUCUAAGGGUGCCACCGGACCUCCCUGGAGGGCGUCGGGGGCUACCCUUCCUCUCUCCUCGUCGCGUAUCGGGGGAAACCCUUGGCAGCAGCGUCGUCACCUUCGCGUCCCUUCUUGGAGGUGUUGAUUGGUACCGGUGCUUCGGAGUCUAGGAGCUAGGUGGGAGAUUUCCGGCGGACGCAGUGGUCGCGAGGCUUCUUCGUUUUUGUCGAUCCGCCGUUGUCGGCAUUUGUUUCUUUUGUCUUUCUCUUUCAUAUCUUUUGGGCGUGUCUGUGCUGCUUCCGCCCCAGCACCUAUCGUUGGUUGUAUCGGUUGGUUGCUUUGUAAUACAAAGCGGGGGGAAACCCUUUUUCGGAGUAAAUGGCCAGUGUAAAUGCAAUACUAGGUAUAGUUUUACAGUGAUAUCUCUACUGUAGUUGCGGUCUGUAGUAGUCUGUCUUACAAUGUAAUUUUCAGGGUUUUUUGUUUCUUUUUUUGUAACUUCAGAUAUGUGUAACUUCCAGUGUAGAUGGUGGUACAUUUAACUGAAUUUCCGCUUCCAGUGUUUUGCUACAUGGUGGUACAUCAACUGAAAUUUCAGUACAUAGAGAAAGUAAUUUACGGAUGUAGAUGUAGGUUUGCAAAUGCUGAAUCUCCUGGUCGGUUGAGCCUCGUGAUGUAUAGGUGUUGGUCUGAAUUUUUUUUCAGUUUUAGUUACAGUGAUUUGGAAUGUAAUUUGUAGUGUAAUUUUGAGUGCAUUUUCAGAAUAGUUUCACUUGUAGUCCAGUGUAAAAUUUUACGGUGAUAUUUUCUAUUGUUGGUACAGUUUAUAGUCCUUCUCACACUGUAAUUCCAUUUUUU
rnacentral:lncRNA from 1 species